UACGUAGGUUGCAAGCGUUAAUCGGAAUUACUGGGCGUAAAGCGUGCGCAGGCGGUUAUGUAAGACAGUUGUGAAAUCCCCGGGCUCAACCUGGGAACUGCAUCUGUGACUGCAUAGCUAGAGUACGGUAGAGGGGGAUGGAAUUCCGCGUGUAGCAGUGAAAUGCGUAGAUAUGCGGAGGAACACCGAUGGCGAAGGCAAUCCCCUGGACCUGUACUGACGCUCAUGCACGAAAGCGUGGGGAGCAAACAGG
rnacentral:rRNA from 1 species